rnacentral:ncRNA from 2 species
GGUAGUAAUUAAUAUUCAAAUGAGAACUUUGAAGGUCAAAAAGGGGGAAGACUCCAUGUGAACGUCAUUUAUACAUGGGUUAGACGAUCCUAAGGGUCGGAGGAACCCUGACAAAUAGCACCUUUCGUGCGUACUCCGAAAGUGAAUCAAGCUAAAACUCCUAAACUGGGACGUAGCGAUUGAUAACAACGUUAGGGAGUCCGAAAAUUUCAACAGGGCCUAACCUAGAGCUAUCUUUUUCUGUUUAAGAGCUUCCCCACCCUUGAAAGUUGAAACGGAGCAAUUGUAGGUAGCUAUGGUCCAGCGGCAAGAAGUGCAUUGCCCCUUGUGUGGUGUCCGGUACGGCUCCAAAGGCCCUUGAAACCCAGAGGACCGAGUGUCAUCCACGCCCAUUCACACCCCAUAAUAACAUCAGGUCUCCAAGGUGAACAACCUCUAGUC